rnacentral:tRNA from 1 species
GCCUCGGUGAUGCAAAGGUUACAUGCUUGGCUGCUAACCAGAAGUUUGGUGGUUUGAACCCAUCCAGCAGCU